rfam:Desulfovibrio desulfuricans ND132, complete genome.
CGGUCGGCAGUUCACCCAGGCGUCGCCGCCCCUCACCGGGGAGCUAAACCUGCCA